CUCCUCUCUUUAAAAACAGAGCACGUCCUCUGCAAAUGGAAAAACAGGAGGGAGACCAUUUGUUUUGUCCCAUUUUCUUCAUUUUCUCUUCUUUUCUUCAAGCUAAAUCAAAAGGGAGUGUGCUUAGGAGGAUUAUAUCCAAGAAAACAAAUUAAAUGACAACUUAGAGAGUUAUAGAGCUUGAGAGAAACAAAGAGAAGAAGCUGGAAAUUGGAAGAGGAGGACAUGAUUUUUGUAAAUUUUUGCAAGAAUUCAUUGAAAUAAGUUAAAGUAGCAAAGGGCUGGAACUUCGGCAGCCAUAUUUUGACUUUGCACCGUUGGAUUAGAGUGAUUUUUGGAUAUGUUAUUAUACUCAAUGUCACCUACAUUCUGACUGGAGGGAUUGCAAAUAUCAGAUUUCGUUUGAGGGCUGUCACCGGAGGAACAUUUCUGGAAAAUCACCCUUCAAGACAGCUUUGUUCGUCAGCCGUUAUAUCAUCGUUUCACCGUUGGAUUGGUCUGGAUUUUGGAUAUUUUAUUCAUCCAGAUGUUAUGUAAAUUCUGAACGGUUUGGAUUGGAAAAGAACACUCCUACCAGAAAUUAUACUUCCUGAACAGCAGGUCUCCAAAUUUCAGGAGAAGCAUUCACUCGACUUCUCAGGAGCUCGUAUAGUAGGAGCUUAAGGAGGGACUGCAAGAGGGGCACAACAACAACAAGGAAGAGUGAGUUGAGCUUCUGCAGCUGGAUGACUGACUUGUCAGAUUAUAAAUGGAAUGUUGGACGAUACCUAAUUGUUAAACAAAAAUGGUAAUUUAUGUUUAUGUUAUGGAUUAUUGAA